AUUGAACGCUUUCUUCAGGCCUAACACAUGCAAGUCGAGCGGAUGAAGGGAGCUUGCUCCUGGAUUCAGCGGCGGACGGGUGAGUAAUGCCUAGGAAUCUGCCUGGUAGUGGGGGAUAACGUCAGGAAACGGGCGCUAAUACCGCAUACGUCCUGAAGGAGAAAGUGGGGGAUCUUCGGACCUCACGCUAUUAGAUGAGCCUAGGUCGGAUUAGCUAGUUGGUGGGGUAAAGGCCUACCAAGGCGACGAUCCGUAACUGGUCUGAGAGGAUGAUCAGUCACACUGGAACUGAGACACGGUCCAGACUCCUACGGGAGGCAGCAGUGGGGAAUAUUGGACAAUGGGCGAAAGCCUGAUCCAGCCAUGCCGCGUGUGUGAAGAAGGUCUUCGGAUUGUAAAGCACUUUAAGUUGGGAGGAAGGGCAGUAAGUUAAUACCUUGCUGUUUUGACGUUACCAACAGAAUAAGCACCGGCUAACUUCGUG
rnacentral:rRNA from 1 species